CGAGAAAUAUACCUCUGCUUUUCUUCCCAACUGUCACUCUUUGAGCUGAGCAGUUCAUAGUUGAUAUUGAGUGAGUUGUCAGCUCUCUACCUAGCGUCUUUGACAAUGGACAACCUCAAUUGUUGCUGCUGCGAUGAUGUUGCCAAGGCUGUGGUGCCAGAUUUUGUCCACCGAAACUCAGAUGGAUAUCUGGAUACCUUCAAGCAGCUGCUUGAAACACAAACCUCAAUGAAUUUUCUUUUCAAAAAGAAUUUUCAAGAAUUAUUUAAGCCAUGGAAAACUGUGAAAUAUGUGUGUCAUCCAUUGAGUCUCUAGACAAUUAAGAGUGACUCGACCGUCACCCUUAGGACUGUGUGCACUGCCAAGUAUCUGAUUCUCUCACACAGAACUCAGAGAUUAUUUCAAUAAAUUUGAUAUUUUAUUCUUUCUUCUUAUCAUAUCAGACUUUGUUACUUCUACCAAUUAUAUACAUAUUGUAUAACACUGGUCACUGGCUCAAGAUAAACAAGACAAACCAAACAUCAUCCUCAGAGUACCAGCAACAAAGCUGGAAUAUAUUUUCCCUAAACUUGAAAUACACAGAAACCAUGAUCAUUACCCAGUAAAGAUGAAGUACAGAGAAAGCCAUUCCACUUCAAAAUCAACAAGCAGGCGAAUAUCAC
rnacentral:lncRNA from 1 species